GGGGGCGAUAGGUUUCGACAGGGAAGUGUGGGUCAGAGAGGCAUGCCGGGGAACUGCCAACCCGAAAAAAGGCAGAUCUAAAUAUAACUGCAGACUCUCACGAGUACGCAUUAGCCGCGUAAGACGGCUACAUCAUCUAAACUUUUUUCCUGCUUUAAGUUUAGAAUGGUGUAAUUCAAGCAGGAUAGUCUUUCUGGACACCUAUACAGAAAGGCGAAACCCUAUAGGUAUGGAUGGGAGAAAACCUGUCAGUGGGUGUUCUGUCAUCCGAGAUCAAAACACUGACUAAGCAUGUAGUCUCUUUGCAUCCCAGCUUUUUUGGACGCGGGUUCGAUUCCCGCCGCCUCCACCA
rnacentral:tmRNA from 1 species